rnacentral:rRNA from 1 species
AGACCGAUAGCGAACAAGUAGAGUGAUCGAAAGGUUAAAAGCACCUUGAAAAGGGAGUUAAAUAGCACGUGAAAUUGUUGAAAGGGAAGCGCUUGCAACCAGACUCGGUCGUGGGGGCUCAGCGGGCAUGCGUGCCCGUGUACUCCCCCAUGCUCCGGGCCAGCAUCAGUUCUGGCGGUUGGUUAAAGGCCUCUGGAACGUAUCGUCCUCCGGGACGUCUUAUAGCCAGGGGCGCAAUGCGGCCAGCCGGGACUGAGGAACGCGCUUCGGCACGGAUGCUGGCAUAAUGGUUGUAAGCGGCCCGUCUUGAAACACGGACCAAG